rnacentral:sRNA from 1 species
GUUUCUGUACUUGUAAACUAGAUGACUAUGUUUCAAUAGUUUUGGUGCAGAAUAUCAGGACUGACACAUUACAUUGCAGUCCGUCUCUGGUUGUAGAUCUGCAAACAUGUAUCAAUUUUAUAUAUCAACUAGAAUCUAGUCCAGAUCCAUCUAUGUUAUUUAUUUUGUUUGAUAUUCUUUGUUUAUAGCACGGCUAGAGCAGAUUUUAUACAUGUACAGUGUAUAUAUACAUGUAGUAUAUGCUCUACAAUAUCAGACCUUAUAUCAGAUUCUGUGUAGGCAUCUAGAGGAAGAAACCUGCAAGUGCUUUGCCUCACAUUGCCUUAACUAAUGCACCAUUACUCAGAGAUGGCACCAAAGUUCAUUCCUUGAGAUGUUGAUAGUAUACAAUGACGUCACAGGACUGCACAAAUAGCCAUUGGCACCAAUCACUGGAUAUUUGUAGGACGUGGAGUCUUCACCAAACUUCACAGAUAUCACAAGAUAUUUUAUAUUGCACUACACGUGUACUGUAUUCACUGCAGAAUAUCAGUUAUGUAUUUUUUUAUUUAUCGAAUUAAAUAUGAAGUUU